CAAUUUAAACAACGAAGAGUUUGAUCCUGGCUCAGGAUGAACGCUAGCGACAGGCUUAACACAUGCAAGUCGAGGGGCAGCACAGGUAGCAAUACCGGGUGGCGACCGGCGCACGGGUGAGUAACGCGUAUGCAACUUACCUAUCAGAGGGGGAUAACCCGGCGAAAGUCGGACUAAUACCGCAUGAAGCAGGGGCCCCGCAUGGGGAUAUUUGCUAAAGAUUCAUCGCUGAUAGAUAGGCAUGCGUUCCAUUAGGCAGUUGGCGGGGUAACGGCCCACCAAACCGACGAUGGAUAGGGGUUCUGAGAGGAAGGUCCCCCACAUUGGUACUGAGACACGGACCAAACUCCUACGGGAGGCAGCAGUGAGGAAUAUUGGUCAAUGGGCGUAAGCCUGAACCAGCCAAGUCGCGUGAGGGAUGAAGGUUCUAUGGAUCGUAAACCUCUUUUAUAAGGGAAUAAAGUGCGGGACGUGUCCCGUUUUGUAUGUACCUUAUGAAUAAGGAUCGGCUAACUCCGUGCCAGCAGCCGCGGUAAUACGGAGGAUCCGAGCGUUAUCCGGAUUUAUUGGGUUUAAAGGGUGCGUAGGCGGCCUUUAAAGUCAGCGGUGAAAGUCUGUGGCUCAACCAUAGAAUUGCCGUUGAAACUGGGGGGCUUGAGUAUGUUUGAGGCAGGCGGAAUGCGUGGUGUAGCGGUGAAAUGCUUAGAUAUCACGCAGAACCCCGAUUGCGAAGGCAGCCUGCCAAGCCAUGACUGACGCUGAUGCACGAAAGCGUGGGGAUCAAACAGGAUUAGAUACCCUGGUAGUCCACGCAGUAAACGAUGAUCACUAGCUGUUUGCGAUACAGUGUAAGCGGCACAGCGAAAGCGUUAAGUGAUCCACCUGGGGAGUACGCCGGCAACGGUGAAACUCAAAGGAAUUGACGGGGGCCCGCACAAGCGGAGGAACAUGUGGUUUAAUUCGAUGAUACGCGAGGAACCUUACCCGGGUUUGAACGCAUUCGGACCGAGGUGGAAACACCUCUUCUAGCAAUAGCCGUUUGCGAGGUGCUGCAUGGUUGUCGUCAGCUCGUGCCGUGAGGUGUCGGCUUAAGUGCCAUAACGAGCGCAACCCUUGCCACUAGUUACUAACAGGUGAUGCUGAGGACUCUGGUGGGACUGCCAGCGUAAGCUGCGAGGAAGGCGGGGAUGACGUCAAAUCAGCACGGCCCUUACAUCCGGGGCGACACACGUGUUACAAUGGCGUGGACAAAGGGAAGCCACCUGGCGACAGGGAGCGAAUCCCCAAACCACGUCUCAGUUCGGAUCGGAGUCUGCAACCCGACUCCGUGAAGCUGGAUUCGCUAGUAAUCGCGCAUCAGCCAUGGCGCGGUGAAUACGUUCCCGGGCCUUGUACACACCGCCCGUCAAGCCAUGGGAGCCGGGGGUACCUGAAGUCCGUAACCGCGAGGAUCGGCCUAGGGUAAAACUGGUGACUGGGGCUAAGUCGUAACAAGGUAGCCGUACCGGAAGGUGCGGCUGGAACACCUCCUUUCU
rnacentral:rRNA from 1 species